rnacentral:rRNA from 1 species
UACGGAGGGAGCUAGCGUUGUUCGGAAUUACUGGGCGUAAAGCGCGCGUAGGCGGUUACUCAAGUCAGAGGUGAAAGCCCGGGGCUCAACCCCGGAACUGCCUUUGAAACUAGGUAACUAGAAUCUUGGAGAGGUCAGUGGAAUUCCGAGUGUAGAGGUGAAAUUCGUAGAUAUUCGCAAGAACACCAGUGGCGAAGGCGGCUCACUGGCCCGGUACUGACGCUGAGGUGCGAAAGCGUGGGAGCAACAGG